GGGGAAUAUUGGACAAUGGGCGCAAGCCUGAUCCAGCCAUGCCGCGUGAGUGAUGAAGGCCCUAGGGUUGUAAAGCUCUUUCACCGGUGAAGAUAAUGACGGUAACCGGAGAAGAAGCCCCGGCUAACUUCGUGCCAGCAGCCGCGGUAAUACGAAGGGGGCUAGCGUUGUUCGGAAUUACUGGGCGUAAAGCGCACGUAGGCGGACAUUUAAGUCAGGGGUGAAAUCCCAGAGCUCAACUCUGGAACUGCCUUUGAUACUGGGUGUCUUGAGUAUGGAAGAGGUAAGUGGAAUUCCGAGUGUAGAGGUGAAAUUCGUAGAUAUUCGGAGGAACACCAGUGGCGAAGGCGGCUUACUGGUCCAUUACUGACGCUGAGGUGCGAAAGCGUGGGGAGCAAAC
rnacentral:rRNA from 1 species